rnacentral:lncRNA from 1 species
UCACCCAGUCUUGGUGUAUGUAGACGUUUUCUUAAUAUUUCUUAAUAUUCUAUUUAGGAUGAGCUUAUCAUGGAACAUAAGAAAAAUAAAACAGAUGUCAGCCUGUGUAUGAAGAAUUCAUCCACAAGAUUUGACCGAAGACCGUGAGACUUCCUCCCCACAGUGAGCUAAAAGGACACUUUUGUCAGAGUGGGGAAAUAAAAGGGCUUUAUGGGAAGGAAGAUAAGAACAGAUGAGUCAGAGGUUUCUGCUUAAUGCUCACUCUUCAAUUAUUUCCCGAGCAAAACCAAGAAUCUUCUUGGGCUAAGCCCCAAUUUGGGGUUCACCUGCCUUGCAGCAACAUGGCACCAAACAUGGGGCAGAAGAGAGAAAACGACAGCAUGAGAGACGGAGAAAGAAAUGGCAGUUGGCAAGGUGGUAAUGAGAGACAGCAGUUGGCAAGACAGUGAGAGACAGCAAGAGAUGGUGGUACAGCCAAGCAGACAGGCAAGUGGCCAUACUGCUGCUGCCUCAUGUAGGAUCCGGCAGGCUGGUGGGUUAUCAGUCCUCACGUGGGACCCUCCCACCAUGGCAGCUGAGCACAUCCAAGCUGGGGGAUCCUGAAGAGACCUUCACCUGGGUGCCACGUGGAAGAUUGGCCAGCACCAUUUUGACUCCUGUGGAUGGUUCCAGGUAAAGACAAUCCUUGCACAAGGCUUCCAACUCGACCCACCUACUGACCUGGAGAAUGAAAGUGUCCUGCCUCGGGG